rnacentral:tRNA from 1 species
UACCCCGUGGUGUAAUCGGUAGCACAACAGGUUUUGGUCCUGUUAGUUCUGGUUCGAGUCCAGGCGGGGUAACCA